GGGUGUGCUCGUCGAUGGACCCAA
rnacentral:siRNA from 1 species